GUAUGAAGUUGGAAUCGCUAGUAAUCGCGGAUCAGCAUGCCGCGGUGAAUACGUUCCCGGGCCUUGUACACACCGCCCGUCACACCAUGAGAGUCGGGAACACCCGAAGUCCGUAGUCUAACUUUACGAGAGGACGCGGCCGAAGGUGGGUUCGAUAAUUGGGGUGAAGUCGUAACAAGGUACC
rnacentral:rRNA from 1 species